AGUCUCCUACUGAUGCCCAUAGCUGGUUGAUAAUGUGCAGGGAGAAGGAUCGCCUUGACCUAUUUCUUCAGCUUUGUGAUGGAUAAAGCUUGCUGUCAUCACUGGCUGCCUUCCAUGCAAAGGAUGUUCUGUGGAGCCCAUUCUGAUGCCUGGGGAAAGAAGCAAAGGAAAAAUAAGUCUUUCUGAGAAAGGGUAAAACUGACCAAGAAAUGGUAAUUCUAAGGUGGCUUUUCUGCAUUCCCGUAGAGCUCACGUACACAACAGACCUGCCAAAAGGGAAGAGAAAGCUGAAACUGAAAACACCACGCAGCAGUGAGAACUCUAGCAGGCAUCCAUAACAGAUAUAUUUCACUAUUUUUAAACAACAGGUCUCAUCAACAGAAGAAAGAUAAUCCUCAUUUCUAAGUCACUCUGUAUUUGUGCAAAAGUGCUCCAGAUCUCACACAAUCAGUCUAGGAAGCACAAAUAUCUGUCCAUAUAGAUACAUGUAUUUAUGUUUUCCCCUCUCCUCUGUACUGUUUAGAACUGAGCAGAGAUGAAAGAGACCCCUCGGUUAUGCCAAUUUUUUCCACUAUGACAUGCUGAGGAAAUUGUACUCUGGUUGUCUGGCAGGACUGGCGUUCCCUGCCCCAUUGUGCAAGAGAAAGUGAUUAUUUUUAAUGUAGGUUAGAAGAAAACACUUCUUUUUUUCUUCUCCCUUUUUCCAAUUGAUUCUGCUGCAGAAGGAAUCUUGUUUUAUUUUAUAAGUGAGGAACAUGAAGCCAGAUUCACCCAGGGGUAACUCUUACUGAAGAUGGUGGAGUUGCACUGGGGAUGGAUCUGACCCGUGAUCUGUUAUUUUUUCCCUUAACUGCAGCUCACCUUCAAAACCUCAGUUGUUACACCUGGUUAGACUAGAGCCAUGACAAACCCGUGUGGCCUCAGCAUUUCCUUUUAAGAAUCAGCCUGUCUCCU
rnacentral:lncRNA from 7 species